CAACGGCCCGUGGCCCCGUGUAGUAAGUAUAACAUAUUCAGCUGUUGGUUUGAAAACUAGAGGAUGCUAUGAUUUCAGCGUAGUUAAACCGGUACGAUGUCAGCUAGCUUAAAACUACCAGAUUGCCACUUUGAUUAUUCCAGGCAGCGGUUAACCGUUAUCUAUUUAUACCGGUAUCCUACCUUUUCCGUAAUUAGAAGUUGCCGAAACCUUUCCUAUCCUUCUGCAAUCCCAAAUCCAUGAUGGCCGACAUCUGUCCACUGACCAAUAAGAAUUGAAGGAAAAGAAAGAGGAUAGGUAAACAAAAGGAAGAAAGAAGAGUAAAGUUUAAACACAAAACACCUCCAUUACAUUAGUUAGUUUUGCAUGGCGAAUUGGCAAUCAAAGAACUAGAACUAAAAAUUAUUGCUUUUCUUUAUUUACAUUGAACGCCUUUUUUCAGACACAAGACGACUGUUGGUUUAGUGGAAAUUCAAAUUGGUUUGAUUUCGUCCAACAGUCCUAGUUGGCUUUCUCCUCCCAUCUUCUCUGUCGAAUGUUGCAUCACCUGAAACACAACCUCACUGUAAGAGAGUGAUUGUCACUUAUUGAGUGACAUUGAUUAAUGUUAAACCUACAAUGGAUUUGAUGAGAUAACCACUCAAAACGACAGGAAUCGUUAUCGGCCAAGGUUUUCGUGAUGCUCUUCCACUUGCUUCCGUUGUUAUGUGAAAAUCGCAACCGGGAGUUACAAAACGGUUUGCGGGCCAAGUCCAACAAAGACACGCCUUCAUUUGCGGACAACUGGGUCUGCUUAGCCUCUACUCUCUGCAGCAAUGGAUCAAACGUCGCCCUCGCCAACCAAACGUAGAAAGAAUAUUGCCUAGAACUGUUUCAUCAAUCUAGAACUGCAUCGAAUGGGCUGGACAUCCCCAGGAGGCCACAAUAUUGAACACGACAGAGUUCGACGAUCGAAAAAAGUGGCAGUUUCAUUUCUUUUUCUCUAUUCACGAGGGCGUCCUUUUUCCCACCUGGUGUCAACUAACUUUAAUAGUUUCUCUGUGGAUUGGAACACCAGGAGACGCCCCGGCGGUAUUUCACAGGCUUCAAGACCUCCAACUAUAACUGAUCUGCCUUUACCUUGAAAUUUUGCGCCGCUAUAAUUGAAAAAGGUUUCAGAAUGAGCGUCGUUUGUGCUGACGGAGUCGGUUUGCACGAUAAUGUUGGGAUUAUCAGAAUUUGCUUUCUUCAUCAUAGCCCCUUUGAAAUUUAGCCUAUGCAACCCUUAGGGAAUAAUACCCGUUCCGGUAUAUGUAAAGUUAAAUUUUUUAAUGUCGUUAUUGCAAGUGUAUUAUUACAACAGCAUCACCCAUUCGUUCGGAUAAGUACCAUGCGCUAACCGACUGAAACCACUGGAGAUUAUUCAAAUAAUAAUAAUAAUUUUUUU
rnacentral:lncRNA from 1 species